rnacentral:lncRNA from 1 species
CACGAGUCUGGCUGAGACUGGCCGGCCAUCAAAUAAAUCGUUGAUUGUUUUCCUACGACCUGUGUCCGGAGUGAGUCUGUGUAACCUGAUACCAAGGGCUUCUGCAACAAUAUUACAAAGAAAACAUAGGAGCUGCCCAAUGGAUUUAAAAAUUUACUAGCAAACAGGUAUUAGCAAUUUUAAAGUAAUUUAUUAAGGUGCAAAUGCAGUUUCUGAUGACGAAGCCAUAUCAGGUGCAAAUCAGGCUUUUAUGUUUGCAAUACUAAUUAGCAAUGUGAUGAACCAACUACUUUUGUUUUAUAAUAAAGGGCAGAAUUAAACAGCUGGCACCUAGCUGGGAGAUACAAUUGUUUCUUUUUUUUUUUGUCACAGGUACAUGGCUAAUGUCUGCAGUAAUUAUACAAUUUACGUGAGCAAAUAACAGUUGGAUGACCUCGCUGGCAGGGGUGUUAUCUGCUUGGUUGAAUUGAUUUUAUUUACCUGAGUCAACACAAAAGUCUGAUCUCUAAAGCCUGAGGUUGUAGAACAAUUUGGGAGACAGGCUGGUCAUGCAGCGGGACUUUGUCAAUUAAAAAAAGGUUGACAAUUGAGCUCCCAAAGUAGCUUCUAUAGCAGCUCUGGAGUUAAAGGGACACUCCAAGCACCAAUAGAACUUUAAUGCAUUAAUGUGCUUUAUUUGUUUGCAUGCACAAAUCUUUAUAGUGUUAGCACACACAAAAAAAAAAUGUUUUCCUUCUCAUGCCAAACUUACUUAUCAAAUGCAUGAGCACAGCUUUGCCUCUAACAGUACUGAGUGAGCUGCUUUCAGUUCACAACCUGGCUGCAGACAGUCAGAGGAACUACAAACAGGUAGUGAUAGCCUAACUAUAUAUCUCCCUGGGUGUUCUCUCCUUCUAAUGCAGGUUGCUUUGGUGGUCAGAUUGACCUAGGGCUUAUUUUCAGGCAAACAUGGUACUAAGAGUUCAGCAUGCAAACAAUGCAGCAUAUUGAGGCCAAAACAUAUUAAAUGAAUAAAAUUUGAAUGGGUGACCCUGCAAUACAAGAGUAUUAAUUUGUGAGAUUGUGUGUGUGUGUGUGUGUACAUGUGUGCAGGAAGCGGGGUGUAAAUAUAUUUUCUGAAUGCAGGUGUGAUGAAUAAGAUCCCCCAGUUGUGAUGGUGUAACUUUGAAAGCAGAACUGUCGCUUCCCAGAAUUUUUAAUACUUUGUUUUAUUUAUACCGUACAUUCACUAAAUAUGUUUUAUGAGGUCUGAAAAUAGAAUUAAAUGAAGAAAUCCACACAUUUAUUCUGGAUCUUGGCAUAUCCAUCUUGGCUCCCUGUCAAUCAUUAUUUUACAUAACGUAUACUGAAAAAUGAGUGCUAAGGAGCAAAAGAAAAACAGAUGAAAAAAAUCUAAAAGAUUUAAUAAAUUGCACCAAACAUUUCCUUAAAAUUAGAAAUCUCCCUCAAAGUUUCACUUUUCUUUCUAAUUUGUAUUGUGUGACCUGGUUUAGACCAGAGACAUACCUAAUUAUACAUAUACCUAGGUUACAUGAAACCUGCCAGAAAAGCAUUUUUCUGCCUUAUCUUAUUUGUAAAAAAAAAAAAAAAAGGAAUCACAUUUUAUUUUAUUAAAUAAUAGUUUUGUUUUUUUAAUUAAACACUGAGGUCCAACCAGCUCCCCUGUUCCUACCUUGACAGGGACAGCUGGAGUGGAAACUCAUCCCUGGUGUCCACUUGGGAAUUGAGGGGUCUCUCUUACUGCCCAGCUGCCUGCUGCUCUAUACUGUUAAUGAGAUCAUAUUCCGACUCCAGCAGCAAUACAGGGUGCACUAGGGAGUUGGGAAAUCAGUGCCGAGAGUUCCCAUGAGCAGAAGAAUCCACAGCACAGGAUCAGAGCAGGUACUUGCCAUGCAGCACCCAGUGAGCAAGGUGCUGGUAGGUAGGUGUCUGCUCAUGCUGUGCACUCCCCUGCUGUUUGUCACCCGAGGGGGAGAACUACACCCUGUGCCCCGGUUAUACCUAAAUUAAACUAGAUUGUGGCGUCACUUGCUUUAUCUUUAAAAUACAUUUUAAAAGAAAACCGUGUGAAACAAAGGUUAAUGCAAGUUAUAGAUAAUUUUCAAUGUUUUAUUCAAUUAUGUAAUUUCCAGAGAAGUGACCGUUUAGCUGUAAAAGAGAACUGACAGCUCACAGGGAGAUGGAUGGAUAGUUUUAUGCAGUUUCUGUGCUGCUACAUGCUUCUAAGCACUACAGACGUAGCAUUAUUCAGUGUAAGUUAUUAAAUGUAGCUUGAAACGGAACUUCAUUGGAGAAAACAAACUCUUUUGGGAUCCCGGUGGCAGAGGCAGGCCGGCCUGAAGGUCAUUUGCCCCCUGCUCUGAUUUAAUUUGAAGAAUUUAAUUCACCAGCCACAGCAUUAUCUCUUUUUCAUUUCUUUUCUUUUCACUUGUAGUAUAAACACGAGGGACACUGGGAUAAAACGCAGCCACUGCUUUAGACUAUUCGCAUUGGAUAUGUGCUGCAUUGCCUGUAUAGAUUGAAUGUAUAGCCACUUUUAUUGACAUUAGCAUGGAUUGCAUACCUCUCUGCCUAAUGAACCUGCGCCCGGGAAUAAAAUCACACAUUAAAUCUAAACUGUUGUAGCAAUGUCAUUUGGAAAGCAAUGGUUUGGAUAAAUAAUUGCUACUUUAUUCACAUAUACCGUAAUGCCUACUGGCUGUGCAAGAAACAUGUUGGUUUUAUUGGUCUCUGGCUCCCGGGAAAGCAGCCUUCAACUUCCAUUUUUCGGUGUGAUAAAUGCCAAAUUUCAUUUUUAUUUGGUCUGUUUCACAGUCCGUAGAUUCCUUAUCAGCGUUUUCUCUUACACGUAGCAAAACCAAAACAAACAACAAACACAAAGACAUGCAUAAUAAAUAAUAUACAAUACGAAAGAAAAGAACGAGUGCAGAAAAUCUAUAGAAUUCUCAGAUUCAGCUCCAAAGCAGUUGAAUGAUGCUCAGAUCAACACCGGUAAUUCCAAAGGCGGAAACCUCCCACCAUUCACAUAUAGCCAUUUAAUUAUUAUGAGUGCUAUGCAAUGUAGCAUCAUAUACCACAAGGUGUACAGUGGGCAAAUAAAUCAAUCUAGUGGAUACUAAACAGGUGUUUAACUCCCCUCCCACCACUGCUAGCGUACUAUAUUUCUAAAGAAAAGUAGUCUACAGAUUAUCACAGGUUGCACAUAAAGGUCAUGUAAUUUGUUAUCGUUUAUCAGUAAUAUAGGACCAUCCAUCAAGGUAUCCAGAAAGGUCACCAGAGCCUUAGCGUUAAUGCCAAGUAACAACAUAUAUGAGAAUAUGUAUGCUAUAUGUUUAAGGUGACCAAUCAUGUAUUGAACCAGGAUCCGAGUCAAAGAAAAUGUACGUCAAGACUGUGUUUGGACAUGACUUCUGUUUACAUGUAUUCUGCUUACUGAUUAAGACCCAUAAGUUUUUGUUUUACAUAACUGGAACCUACAAAAAACAUCUGUGUACACUUACCUACAUGACAUGUACAAGGCUAUAUAUGCUAUAAACAGUGGCACAUUUUAACUUGGACGGCAUCUUUGGCAUUAAAAGAUUAUUAAAAAUGGAAGGGUUGUUAUGGUAAGGGAUGAGAUAAAACCAGCUUGAGUACUAAGCGAGGGCCAACCAAAUGGUAAGCUGUUCGCCAUCUGUUCUCGUUAUUUUCUGCUUUAGUUUAUUUGCAAAAUGCCAGGUCCAUCCUAAGGUAAAAGGGUAAUCGAGACAUGGACUCCGUGCUCUCCUCACUGAGCCUAGAGGAUUAUCGGACACACGCCACAGAUGAGUCCCACCAAGGUUUAAAAUGGCAAAAUGAUUGUCUAGGGUUGCUAUAUCUCUCGUGCAGAGGGAGCCAGGCAGCAUUUCAGAUCUGGACCACCGUUCUGACUGUAAUCUGUGUCCUAGGCAAAUAGUGUAUGUUCCCUCUAUAAUGGAACACACUGAACUAAAACCAACUUGAAUACUUAGCAAGGACUCACCAAAGGAGAAGCUAUUCGAGCUUGAUAUAGAUCCAAUGUGGUCUUUGGAAUAUUCAAGGGAGCCCAAAUUAUUAUUUCAAGUGCACAUGGAGGAGUGUUGGACACCAGACACCUGUUGGUAUUCAAAAAAGGCCUCUAAACUUUAUUUUGUCAGUUAUGUUUUUAUACAUGAAAAAGUAAGUGCUUACGUGCAAAUACUCAUAGGACAGUAGUAGGAAGGGAGUGAAAGGGUGAAAGGAGUACAGAUAAUACAUAGGGAGGAACGUCAUGUACAUAUAACAGAUAAUUUCCGAGAAACAACAGACUGAUUUAGGAGAGACAGCUCAGGUGGGGACUAUCUGUUCCCAGAACUAGGCAUAUUUGGUCUUAAGUGUUGUUUUAAGCAUUAAGCAUUUCCAAGUUAGCCAAUUUUAAUAUGACACCUAUAAGAUUGAGCCUUGGAAUCAAAGUAAAUUCUUUUGCGUGCUAUUGUUUGCGUUCUCAGUAUUCUCCUGUACCCUGUUUUUGUUUAUGAUGGAAAGAUUAGAGCAGAAAGGUAACAUAGAGAUGGAAUCAGAUGAGGAAAAUAUACUCAGGGUUAUUUAAUAAAGCGUGAUUUGAUGAUAAAUUCACAGUGAAUUCAUAGAGCGUUCCAAAUUGUAGCCAAAUAGCCAAUGUAAGAAAUCUGCACAUCAGCUUUGUUUUCAGAUUGAAUUCCCUUCGGAUUCCACACAAUUUACACUUUAGUAGAUAACUCAUGGAGUCAUCAUUAUCAUUGUAGGAUACCCAUACCUGCUUUGGCACAGAGAACUGCAGGUAAUGAGGCAGCUCAGAAGCUACUUCACCUCCUUAUAAACAUCUGUGUAUGGUGCCCUGCUUCCUAUAAUAAUUAUUUUUAAUGAGUUGUAAAUUGUUUUUGCUUCACUAGUAAUGAGCUUUAUGGGGUUGAUUUUCUAAUUAAAUUCUAUAUCUCGGUCUCUCAUUAUGUUGCCAGUAUCUUUGAGGUGUGAGUUGGUUAUGUUGGCUUGUUCUUGUUGAAGUUCCAACGUUCUAAAGUAUCAAUGUAUGUCAUUAGCAUAUAGAUGGAAAUGCAGAUAGGGUGAUAGGGUUAAUCCUUGGGAGAUAACACGUAUAUUAGUGGCCUAUGCCUAGGCCUACUGCCUGUGACUCAUUCGGGUGCAAAUGGGAACCAUAAAGUCAGCUCAUUUACUUCUAUCAUCUAAUUAGUUUUAUGUGACCAUAUGUCAAAUGUGGCGGGUCUUUCAAAAUCAAAAAUAUAUCUUUGUUAUUGUCCAAGAGAUGUUAAAUUGAAUCCAUUAAUGUAAAGUUCCAUGUUUAGACUCGUGUCCCGAUGGAAUGUGAUCAGCGGACUAGAGACCCUUACGUGUUUUUAAAAUUGGGUUCCGAUUUAUUUUUGAACAUCACUUAAGCCAUAAAUAAGGUGUUUGUAAUAAAAUAAAGUUUGUAUAAAAAUUUUUUUUUUUUUAGGAAAGUUUUGGCAAUUACAUUUUAAGCAAUAGUAGGUGGACCCCUUGUUUAAUAGAUAGAUUGAUUUUUAUCAUAGAGCAGGUUAAUAACGUAUGGAGCACACUGCUACAGGACUUUGGCUUGUACUCAACAAUGACAUUAGUUAGGUCACUGAUAUAAAAAUGACGGAUUCCAGAAAUAUGUCUAAAAUGUGGCUCAGAAAUCACAAGGUCUUUCACUUGGCUUCAGGGAGUUUGUAUUUGAGGAAUGUGAUUUUGCAUGGGAGAUAACACUUCCCUUUCCUUCCAUUUGUCUAUUUAUUGGAAAAUUGGACUGAUGCAUGUAUGAUCUGUAAGAUCAAGCUUGUUGCUAGAUUUAUUGAUUUUUGCACAUAUCAAUAUCCGACUUUGGGAUUGAGAGCAGAACCAGCUGGUUUCCAUGAAUUUUUGGUAUUUUAUUUUUUUGGACUUUUUUUUUCUUCUUUAGUGUCAUUCUUCUCUCUUGACUUAUCACUUUUGUUUAUUGGUGAGCCAGUUUUACCACGGUAGAAUCAAUUUGUUGGCUCUGUGUAGGAAGAUGACGUAUGAAGGUUAGCAGCUUUAAUAAAUUGCAGUUGGUUUGUUAAUCUUAAAAUGUGAUCUUUUUACUUAUUCAUAGGGAAAUUAAUGCAUUGUGUUCUAUAAGUUGGUACCAAGCUUGAUGUAUACGAUGUGAACUUGAUAAUCAUUCUUUCUAUCUCUAUGAUGAUCUACAUUGAUGUAUAUGCCCGGGGUCCUCAUGGCUGUGUCAUUUGGGCCCUUCUGUAUCUUGAAAUCUGCCAUGGUGAUUUUUAUGCUCUUAUUAACACAUGGAAUUAAAGUGCAAUACAGAACCAGGACUAUAUAUAUAUAGAGAGAGAGAGAGAGUGAGAGAGAGAGAGAGAGAGAAUCCUAAACAUCAACUUCAAAGCUCACAAAAUGACAUUUUAAAAAAUACAUUUUUUAACAUCGAACUUAGGCAAAAAUAAUGGGGUCCAGUUACAGUAUAUGAUCAUACAUAAAAAACAAACAAAUAUAAAGUGUGCUGUGCUGUGUAAAAGAUUGUGCUCACAAAAAGUCUUGUGUAUUACAAUCAACCCCAGCAAGUAAUUAAAUGCAACAAAGUGCUUGUGCUCAGAAUUAAACUGUAGUUCCUCGUGCAGGAAACCAGUAAUUUGUGCAAUAUUUUUGUGCAAGCACACUGCAAAAUAUACGUGCAAAUAUUAUUGCACCAUUCCACAUUAAAAUGCAUAAAUAUUAAAAGUGCAUUAUAAACUUUGUGUAAGUCAAUACUUAAAACCAAUGUGCAAGAUAAAUGUGCUAUUUCACUCACAAAUUUUGUUCAUAGAGAGAUGAUUUUUCCACAUGAAAACAGUAUAUCAAAGCAAACUAGUGUAAUAUUGCUAACACAAUGAUAUGGUUAAAAAGAGGUAGAUUAUCACACUCACAAAUAGAGAGCAGGUAAAGAGACUGCUCAGGCUGCUCGCGCUUUUUCACUGUAUGUCAGUGCACCCAGGAAUAACUUCCUUGACAGAUUAGAUGGACGACCAAGAAUAAAGAAUUAACAAUCUUAUACCAUUCAAAUAAAAACAGCAGGCACUCAAAUGUGGGUUCUUCUUGUCACUGGCAGUACAAUACGCACAAGAGACAUAUGGUUUCGAGAUGCCGGCACUUCUGGCGUUCCAAAAUCUCUUUGCCUGUUCCGGGAGGUGGAGUCCACAACGUCCUGUGUCACAACGUGAUGACGCAUUUCGCCGCAAUUGGCUUCAUCAGGUGAAUGUAUCAGUCAGUGUCCGUCUCUUUUAUAUCCCCUAUAUGGGCAUGUAUUAGUCUAGAUCAGGGGUUCUCAACCC